ACUCACUCCUGAGGGCUCCACAUCAGAUUCCAGGUCAGAAACUCGAGUUUCCUUGCGCUGACACGUGUCCGAGAAAUAUGAAACUCAUCGUUUCAUUUACUUUACUUGGAAAUCGGAUGGGCUUAUAUAUCGUUAAGCGUAUAUUUGGUUUGGUCAUUUUAUGGGCUUCGUUGGGCUUCAUGUUUUAUCCAAGUCUUCGAUCCCGGUAGCAAGUUAGGCUUAUCGUCUCCAAACCAAAUUUUAGGGUUCGCAAUCCUCUUCGAUCUCCAACAACGAUGAUGUUCAUAUGCACUCACCACACCAACAAUGGAGGAUCUCUGUGUGUCUCUUCAAUCAGCUAGACAUUCUUUUCUACAAACCGUUACGAGAUGCUUUGAUUCAUCUUCAUUAAUGACCGUCUUAACUCAUUCGGCCACUCCAAGCACGUUUCCUCAUUCAUUGCAUCUUCCCUUUGUACAAGGAGGUGAAUCUACAGCUAUAAAAAGAGUCUUUCCUACGGCUUCAAGUUUUUAAGGAAUUGAUAUCAAUCUCGCUUAUGGAUUUCAGACUUACGACUUCCACUUCUUUCAAUCAAGGGUCUUUAAAAAAUACGUGUUUGCGGAAGGGGAAGAAGAUUCUGGAGGAGAAAUUGAUAAGUUUGAAGUCAAGCUUUCUAGAAGAAAGAAUUGGAUCACAGGUUAGUCUAAACUUCAUGAAUAAUAUGCGUCUGGGAUUUUAUGUCUCUUUGUGGGACAGGUUACUUUGCUCUCUAAGCAGUAUAAGUAGAACUUUGAAGCAUAGAUAUUUUUUGGUUAUUGUGAUUUCAACCAUCUGUUCUUCAUAUUUUGUUUACACAUUUUUCAUUCUAGAAUGGAGACUUUAAUCAGAUCAAACAAAUCAACCACACAAAUUUUGUAGAUAUUGUUUUGUUGUAGCAUUCGUUUUACUUUGCACUUGAAGUUGUGAUGCUGGUUGCUACCUCGCGGUCGCGAUUAAACUACGAUUUCACGACAUCGGUUUUAUGCCAUACGCCAACUUAGACUGAGAUGGAAACUUUCAUUUGCUUAAAGUAUUAGGUCUUCAAACUUCAUAUCCUGUUUAUAUCUUUGGUAUCUUCGUUUCCAGAAAUUGAUGUUUCUCAUUCAGAUGGCUUUGUCUGGGUUUCAAUUGACUGAAUGGAAUAAGCAGUCUUCUGCGAAGGAGGUCAUGCACAGGACUCAAAGAGACAUGUAUGUUCAUGAAAGAAACAAUGAAGAAUAUACUCCACUACUGCACGCACAGGUUCACAUGUAAGGCUUUGACCCACAGCCACUGGGUGGCGCCGGUCCAUCAGCAGCGCCGAGCUCAAAGGUCCUCUGUUUUUAUGUUUAUUGUCAUCAUAUAUCAUUUAAGUAUUUGUGUUUGAGUCUCAUGAUCAUAUGUUUUCUCCAAACCAGACAGUUAAAAGACGUGAGUUGAAGUAUGAUCAUGAACGUAUAUGACUUGAUAGAUUUUGGAAAUAAGUUAAUUUGGAUGGCUGACAUCUUCCUUCUUUUGGCACACUUCUGAAUGAUUUUAAUUUGUAACGGAUGGAGGUAGGCCAAUGAAGUCAAGAAUCUAACGUUUGUCACUUAGGAAGACUGCUAACGACUUUGACGAAGUUAUCAGGUAAUAAUUCUUUUCGCCAUGACAUGCGUUGGUGGAAGGAGGAGGAUUCUGCAUCAUCUUCUUUGCUUCAAGUUUUUCCUUUGGUUUGCUUCAGAGUCAAGGAAAGGCAGCGUUAGCAUUUAUCUCUUGAACAAGCAGCCAGAGAAUUCUGACAAAGAAAUUCAAUGCAACUCAGGAAAUGUUAAUCAGA